AGGACGAACGCUGGCGGCGUGCCUAACACAUGCAAGUCGAGCGAGGAGAUUCCUUCGGGAUGAUCCUAGCGGCGGACGGGUGAGUAACACGUGGGCAACCUGCCUCAUAGAGAGGAAUAGCCUUCCGAAAGGGAGAUUAAUACCUCAUAACAUUGCAGUUUCGCAUGGAACAGCAAUUAAAGGAGCAAUCCACUAUGAGAUGGGCCCGCGGCGCAUUAGCUAGUUGGUGAGGUAACGGCUCACCAAGGCGACGAUGCGUAGCCGACCUGAGAGGGUGAUCGGCCACAUUGGGACUGAGACACGGCCCAGACUCCUACGGGAGGCAGCAGUGGGGAAUAUUGCACAAUGGGGGAAACCCUGAUGCAGCAACGCCGCGUGAGUGAUGACGGCCUUCGGGUUGUAAAGCUCUGUCUUCAGGGACGAUAAUGACGGUACCUGAGGAGGAAGCCACGGCUAACUACGUGCCAGCCGCCGC
rnacentral:rRNA from 1 species